AGAUAAUGAUUUCAGGCUGAAAGCAGCAUUCAACUGAUCUUUUAAUAGAAUUCUUGGUCAGAAAAGAUCUGUUCGGAGAGGUGGAGAUCGGAGACAACCAAUCACAGUAUUGACCCUGUAUUACAUUAGACCUAAGCCACUUAGGAUUUUAUUGAGUCAAAAAAUUGAUGAGAUUUCUGGGAGUCUGCUCGUGGAGUGCCUGGGGAAUAAACUUGAAAAACAGAGAAAAACAACAUGUUUUCCGAGAUUGCAGUGAAGCCAUGAACCUCUGCCGCUAUCUCCUUGUAUACACUAAGCAGUAAAUGAUGUAGGGCAACAUGGAUGUGCUGCCUCUGGGCAUAUUUAUGUUACAGCCUCAUUGGCUUGUCUCCACCGAGAGCACAUGGUACAGUUUGAUGGGAGAGGUACAACGCUGGUGUAAAUCUCAUCUGGCAUAGGACUCUCGAGCAUAACUUCAAAAUGUUUACAUUUUGGGCCAAAAUUUCAAAAGCAAGUGCGUGACUUCUGCUUAAACGACGCCAAAUAUACUACCACAGCUGGCAGUGCCGGCGUAAAACUGCUGCUGGCACGACAGUACCUGGACCUGCAGAACCCCUUAUGUCAGGAGGGACAGCAGUUUGCACGUGGGUACCUGUCAAGAAACCAGCGUGUUGGGAGCAUCUUCAGCACCACCAGCAUUUAUUUCAGAGUACGUGUAGUUUCACUGACCGAUGCUGAAGAGCGUGAGCUGGGCGAUGUAUGUUUAGAUUACGUGAGUGAAAAUACCCACGCUGCUUUCCUUCAAUCUGGCUGAUGGAACUGUAGCCUGGGAGCCAGAAAAACUCAGGCAAUUUUCCAAGGCUGUGAGCACAGGAUUGUGUAGAAAUCAUUGCCUGGCAUCGAUGCUUCAGCUGAAGAUGCUCUCUCUUGUGAUUUACCAAUAAACUGGCAAGACACUUUGCUGCUAGCAGCCUUAUACAGCUGAAAAUUGUUUUUCAGAAUCCUGUUUGACAGUAUGAUUAUCCUCAAGAAGGAAGGACCAUGCUGGUGCAGUCCCAGAGGAGGAUUAACAACCCUGGAAGCAAUGAAAGAAGAUUCACGCUGAUGUGAAGAAGACAGAUGCGAAGUCGGUCAUAGUUUUGGUCUUCACGGUCACAGAAGCGCUGUAAAUGUUUGUCCUUCACUCUUCUUCAAGUCGUAUGGAUCAGGGCUCUUGUACGUGGUUGCCUGGUACCGAUCACUUCAGCUCUCGCACACUUGGAACUCAUCUUGUGUGCUUGACAUGGUUUGUUGCCUCUGGAUAUAUUGCAGGACACAGCAGGCUGGUGUCAUAAUGAAGCAUCCGUGAACAGAUCAUUUCUGGGAUCUGGCUUGUAGAUGACAGCCUCAAGUAUACAUCUAAAAUAAAGCUCAUAUGGAACAGAGCAGGAUGCAUUCCUCAGUUUCUGUGGCAAGCUUUGCUGAUGUACUGAGUUCUUCAGAUGGCCACAUGAAUCCUGUUCACAGCGAUCUCGAUACAAACAGGUUUUGGAGAGAGAAGAAGACUUGCCGAUUUCAGGACAAGGGUACUUAAAAGUGCAUUCACACCAUCAAAAAAUAGGUUUUAUGCAGAUCAGCUUAAUUUGCUAUGAACCUCGCGUUUGACUGUUUAGCAACAAAAGCAGUGAAGAAGCAGAAAUAUUCCUCGGCCCAUUCUAGGUACGUGCCACAAUUAAAGCCGUACGUGACGAUCCUUCUGCGCCGAGGAUCCCCAAAGACUGGCUGUUUCUCUGGAGACCUCGACUAGCCCUUGCGUGCCAAGCAGAAGCACCGCGCGGUUCGUCGCCGGGCUCUUCGCCGUCCUUUGUUGGUUGUACAGACCCAUUUCACAUCUGCCUCAGCUUUCCUAUUUUCCACUGGAGCCUUGUUAGCGAGUCAAGUCCCAGUGUGUGCUUAGGGGUUGGGGUUUUAUUCGCACCCCCACCCUGCACAGUUAUUAAUUUAAUAGCUACAUUCUAGAAGGUGGCAGCUGUUGGUUUUAAUUUGAAUACAGUGCUGAUUUCUCUCAAGGAGUCUUUGUCCCUAUACUAGGAGGGAACAGAAAGAAUACUGUACUGGAACCAUCUCGUGAUAUUUUUACUACAUCCCACUCAUCUUUUUUUUUUUUUUUCCUGACAGAGGGUUAUAUAUCUUAAUUAUCUUUUCGCAAAUGGUUAUUCUUUCCAGUUUAUCAUUUCAUAUGUUUGAAACUGAAGCUAUUUACAGCCUUCCCUUUUACUUGCUUUUGUCUAAAUAUAUUUUAGGGUUGCUUGCAAGGGUUCAGAACAGACACAGACAUCCCCUUUUAGGAAAAAUGGGGGAAUACAUCGCAGACUCCUCAUUUUUCUUUCCUCUCAGACAUAGUCACACACAUUUUACCAUUAUUAUCUGGUCAUUGUGGAGAAAUAGAAUGGAAAAUAAGCAAAAAGAGAUAAAAUAAGUAUGCUCCAACUCUACUUGUUUCUAAGUUACUUAAUAGGGCCGUGUGAGAUGGCAGUUGUGUAAGGGUAAGGUAUAAGAUGUACGGGGCGUCGUCGUUUAACAAAAGCAAGCGUGCAUUCCCGCACGCUCAGAACGCUCACCUGGGAACCUGCUUCCCAUUACGCUUCAAGCAGUUCCCUGGAUAAUUUGCAGUUGUAUUACAUUCCUCAGUUCCUCAGUUGUGUCUCAUUCGGUGAUGAUUUUCAUCGCUCUAUGAAACAAUUAGAGGUUUUGCUUUCCUGGCAAACGAAGCUAACCGACUGUAGAAAUUUAUAUCAGUUUACACAUGUGGAACACGUGAAUUUCUGUUUCAGGGUGGCACAAAGAACUGGAGGUCCUGGGGCGAGGUGGCUGUGGGGGCAGGUUACAGCACGGUCACUCUUAGGGGAGUAAAGCACUGGGAUAGGAGAAGUCUGUUUUCACCAGGUUAAAUCUUAACUCUGUGUUCCCCGUGUUACAGUGCCAUGGAAACAGCAAAAUUGCAGUAAUUCCUUUUGGCCGGGCCUCUGAGUCCCGCUAGUAAUCGUAAACCAUCGGAGUUCACCCCUGUUGAUAAAAGAGUUUUAGAAGAAUGCAGAAGACUGGUAAAUCCGUUAAUGAGCAGUGUCAGGGAGCAGGAGAGACCUUCAUGUUCCAGCACAAGUUAAAAGGUGACCGUAUUUGUCAGGGGGGGCAGCAGCCCGACCGCAGUACGGCCGUGGUGAAGGGAGGCACUGCCUCUUGUGCCCCUUCCUCUCCCACCGCCUUUAUUUCAAACCCAGCGUCUUCCCCGAAAGGGCUAAAAGGAGACAGACGGAUUCGUUUCGUUACUGCUGGUUGUUUAAUAACAUGCCUUCGGUCGUGGUUAGCCAGCUUUCAGGCUCGGGGGUUAAAGACAAAACUCUGAAGUUCGGGCCAUCAGGUCAGUGCUGGCCUACUAGUGAAGAAGACAAAGAUGUGUGGUUUCUAGAAAUGCACGGCCGGUUUAUUUUGUUGUGUUCUUGAGACAAUUUGUGAGCCAGCUAGCGAGGGUUGGACAAGUCCCACUGCAUCUCAGAAUUACCAGUAAGAGAAUAAUGUAAAUGCGAAUUCUUUGACAAAGGCUAAAAGCCAGAUUCUGCUCUCUGCUUCAUUGGAGUAAAACAUGUAGGGAUUUUGGUGUAAUCCACAGACUCAUUCUAGUUUUAUGCUCAGGUAAUAGAAUUUGGCCCAAAGAGACUGAAAAGAACUGAUGUAUCGCUUUUAUUUAGUUGAUUAUACCUGUCCUGCUCCAUUCAGGAGAAUAUUUUAAUCGGGCCCCAUAUUAUAUUGCCUGUAGGACUGAUUUCUACAGCAAUCCUAAUUUAAUUCUGUAGCAAUGUAUUGACUAAGAAAGAACUAAAUUGCUUGGCAGGAUAAUAGAGAGAAGAAAGAACAUAGCAGGAGGGUUAAGUAUGGCAGAUGUCAUUGACCACAAGAGUAUAAUAUAUACUAUACACUACACUAUACUAUAGUACAAUGAAAGAAAGUUCCUGUAAGAACAAUAAAUAAGGAGCUUAAUAUAUCGCAAGCAGGUACGAGCUGCUUAACCUGCUGAAAGACAUUGUGCUUUUGUCUGCUCCAUCUUCCCCGACACAAAAAUUGUUUCAGAGCCUCAAGCUAUUCGCUCGUAAAGAACACAGAAAAUAAUGGUGUUAUUGUAGUACUUCUGCUAAUUUCAUCUCUGUACCAUUGCAAUGCUAAAUCAAGGGGGGGGGAAGUUAAAAGAUGUAAAUUGUUCUUAAAAUCAAAGGGGAGAGUGUUUGCGUGGUUUUAUUGUUGUGGGGUUUUUUUAAACAUUACAAAUGAUGUUGGUAAACUCGUAUUAAGUGGAAAGUGAUUUUACUCCUUCCCCUGCAGGUUUUAC